AUGAAAAUAGACAGAGAGACUGCAGAUUUUGCAGCGCCGACGGGGAAAGCAUGGGAAUGUGAAACUCUCAGGCAAAAGGAUGUUUAUGGGACG
rnacentral:ncRNA from 2 species